AUUGAACGCUGGCGGCAUGCCUUACACAUGCAAGUCGAACGGUAACGCGGGGGCAACCCUGGCGACGAGUGGCGAACGGGUGAGUAAAGCAUCGGAACGUAUCUUGUAGUGGGGGAUAACCUAGCGAAAGCUAGGCUAAUACCGCAUACGCCCUGAGGGGGAAAGUGGGGGAUUCGCAAGAACCUCACGCUAUUGGAGCGGCCGAUGUCGGAUUAGCUAGUUGGUGAGGUAAAGGCUACCAAGGCGACGAUCCGUAGCUGGUUUGAGAGAACGACCAGCCACACUGGGACUGAGACACGGCCCAGACUCCUACGGGAGGCAGCAGUGGGGAUUUGGACAAUGGGGCAACCCUGAUCCAGCCAUGCCGCGUGAGUGAAGAAGGCC
rnacentral:rRNA from 1 species